rnacentral:rRNA from 1 species
UACGGAGGGAGCUAGCGUUGUUCGGAAUUACUGGGCGUAAAGCGCACGUAGGCGGCUUUGUAAGUUAGAGGUGAAAGCCCGGAGCUCAACUCCGGAAUUGCCUUUAAGACUGCAUCGCUUGAAUCCAGGAGAGGUGAGUGGAAUUCCGAGUGUAGAGGUGAAAUUCGUAGAUAUUGGGAGGAACACCAGUGGCGAAGGCGGCUCGCUGGACCGGUUCUGACGCUGAGGCGCGAAAGCGUGGGGAGCAAACGGG